GUUAAAGGCACGGCUGUAUAUUAUAUCAUAAUACAAAAAAAAUCUGAGUGUCAGCACUCCGCUCGUUAAAGUUUGCAUGUAAAAAUCCAAGGUUUCCUUAUACUUACCUCUUAUGCAAUAAAAAAAACAAUGAAGGUGUCGCAACACCAAAAGUUCAGUAAAAAUGAAAAUCCAGCGCACUCACUUAUCUACUAAACUGUUUUUUUUAGUGCUAAACAAUUUUGUUAGUUUUAUUAAAAACACCUAAUCUAGGCAAAAAAUAAUGGGGGUUUAGUUACAGUAUAUGAUCAUACAUUGCAUAAGCCUGCAACAAUGCCAAUGUACCACAUUUUUGGCAGGUCCUACUCUGUCUGCUAAAUGAGCUACUCACUUGGGGAAAUCCUUCCAUCUCGAGUUCUCUGUAGUACAAGGCUUAAACAGGGUCCUGAGAUGAGGCAUACAUUGUGAAAACUUAACCAUUACCACACCAAACAGAAGGAACGCAAUAGAAUACAUUAGAAAAACACCAAUAUAUACAAACAAAGAGCAUAUUAAAAUACAAAUAUACAUAAUCCAAAUCAUUGCAUCACAGUAGGGAAAGAAUUAACAAAGGGAGGGAGGGACCAGGCUGUGCGCAAUAUGAGCUCCUGCACAAACAGAAAGCUGAAACAUUAACCAUCCAGCAACAGACAAUCAGCAAUAUAUUUAACAAACAGCUGCAGGAGCUGGGUAUACACCCAAAAUAACUUUAUUUUGGAGUUCUUUAGAGGGAGAGCUGCUGCUCCUGUGUCUGAGGUUUCUAGGACUGCGAGUAGUGUGGACAGCCGCCGCUCUGCUCCUUUGCCCAGGGGAAUCACGUAGGCUCUACAACACUACAUCUUGCUGACCCCAUUACCUCCCCCUUUGGACCGAUGGAGGUUAUCCCAGUCCCUACUGGGGAAGCUGCCGCUCUUACCUGCAUCUUCAAUGGAAAAUAUCUGUACACAGAGGCACUUAGACCUGCUUUACAAGAUGGCGGUGCAUCACCAUGUACCUGACUCAACCCCGCAACCCGCCGCUGUCCUCACUAAAUAUGACUGGCUGCUUGAGUGCUUCUGGGAGAUGCUGCAUCAGUGAGCAAAGGCACACUUACCUCUCUAGCAUCAACAAGCCGGAGACCGGCACCCCGGAAUGCCGGUCUGUGCAAAUUGAGUUUUACUCCAGUCACUGUGCGGCAGCAACUCCUUCCAAGGCUGGGAACUAAACUGGGUGGAUGCCCCCCUCGACGCCCACAUCCACACCCACGGAGGGCAGAGGCAUCCGCAACGUUCGAAGCCGUGACUUCCCUGGAAAAAGGCGCCAGACUUUGGUAAAGGGACACUAUAGUCACCUGAACAACUUUAGCCUAAUGAAGCAGUUUUGGUGUAUAGAACAUGCCCCUGCAGCCUCACUGCUCAAUCCUCUGCCAUUUAGGAGUUAAAUCCCUUUGUUUAUGAACCCUAGUCACACCUCACUGCAUGUGACUUGCACAGCCUUCCAUAAACACUUCCUGUAAAGAGAGUCCUAUUUAGGCUUUCUUUAUUGCAAGUUUUGUUUAAUUAAGAUUUUCUUAUCCCCUGCUAUGUUAAUAUCUUGCUAGACCCUGCAAGAGCCUCCUGAAUCUGAUUAAAGUUCAAUUUAGAGACUGAGAUCCAAUUAUUUAAGGUAAAUUACAUCUGUUUGAAAGUGAAACCAGUUUUUUUUUCAUGCAGGCUCUGUCAAUCAUAGCCAGGUGAGGUGUGGCUAGGGCUGCAUAAACAAAAACAAAGUAAUUUAACUCCUAAAUGACAGUGAAUUCAGCAGUGAAAUUGCAAGGGAAUGAUCUAUACACUAAAACUGCUUUAUUUAGCUAAAGUAAUUUAGGUGACUAUAGUGUUCCUUUAAUGUCUGGGACAGUGGAGCUGGAGUGCAGGUUCAUGUGAAGGCCAGGAGCUGGUGUGAUGUGGUUCCGGGGUUCUCAUUGGGCUCUUGUGAACAGAUCAAAACCUAUGUGCCAUUGCUUAGCGAAGAGUGAAGGGAUAGGCUGAUUUAUAUUCGAUAUGUUGCUUCUGUCUGACAGGCUCUCUAUAUAUGCACUUGUUUAUUAUACCCUCUUUUUUUUUCUUUGUGCCAGUCUGUACAUAAUGCCGCUGAUUCUCAGUCAAAUUGCGUCUAUGCCAACUUAUUGAGGGCCCCCCAAGGGGCUUAUAUACACUCAGUCGUGUUAAUCGUUACUCUAAUUUUCCUACAUUUAUCCAUGUUUUUGUAAGCUGGAUAACACAAUUGUAUUUUAUCAUACCAUCAGUUAACACUUGCUGAGAAGCCUGACCAAUCAGCUACAUGUCUUACACUCUGUUUAUUUUUUCAUAAGAGUUCAUAUCUUGAGUUUAAUUUGUACCUAGACGUGUAUGCCCAGCUUAGCUAUACACCUAUUUUUCUCUCGUUCUGUUUUUACAUCAUAUGACAUUUCCACUUUAUGUCUGUAUACUGCACCGCAAAACACUUGUGAUCUUAAAUUCUCUCUUAAAAUGUUUUUUUUAAAUGUGCAAGUGUCUUGACAUGUCCUGUCUCAUAUAUGCAAUGUCUCUGUCUCAUUUACUCUUUAUAAUAUGUCAGUAAAAGUUUGUAUGUCUGUCUAUGCACUACAAAAAUAAAGAAUUGGAAACCAUAUAAAAAAAAAAAUAAUAAUCCUUGUUAUGUCUUCUAAUAAAGCCAUAAUGAAUUAAUUGCAACAAGGUUAGCAAUCAAGUUUCCUGCAUUAUAUUACCUAAUAGGCUUGUAGCCAUUCAGUGUUUUCAGUGCAAACAGCCAUUCAGUGUGUAAUUGGAUGUUAUAUAGCAGGCUUCCCCGAACUCCGGCGCUACAGAUAUUGCUGAAAUACAACUCCCAUGAUUCUCAGCCUAUCUAUUUGAUUCAUAGAAUCAUGGGAGUUGUAGUUCAACAACAUCUGGAGGGCCGGAGUUUGGGGAAGCCUGCUAUGUAGCAAUCCCAUCUUCAAUUUAAGUGUAUCCAUUACAUAUUAUAUAAGGCAGGAACCACAGCCAGAAAAUCUCACUUUUUAUUUCUUUUUUAUUUCAAAGAAAGAAAAAGAAUAGGCAAUAUUAACACAUGCAGAAGAGCACUGACCCAUAUAAUAAAUACACAAUUUCCAUGUUAAAAUGGCAAAUCAUUGAUUCUGUCCCUAGGCAAACUAGGGGGCAGGAUAGACAAUAACUUCUUAACCCCUUAAGGACCAAUCUUCUGGAAUAAAAGGGAAUCAUGACAUGUCACACAUGUCAUGUGUCCUUAAGGGGUUAAAAAUGUGAGACUUUCUGGAUCCACACCUUGGAUUGCUUGGAGUCCAGGGGAUUGAAUAUGGAUUUUGAUGUGUCCCCUUUCUUAUGAUGAUAUCAGUGUAUAUUGAAAGGAACACUAUAAAUUACUUUAGCUAAAUAAAGCAGUUUUAGUGUAUAGAUCAGGCCC